ACUCGAGUGGCGAACGGGUGUGUAACACGUGGGUGAUCUGCCCUGCACUUCGGGAUAAGCUUGGGAAACUGGGUCUAAUACCGGAUAGGAGCCAUCUUUAGUGUGGUGGUUGGAAAGUUUUUCGGUGUAGGAUGAGCUCGCGGCCUAUCAGCUUGUUGGUGGGGUAAUGGCCUACCAAGGCGUCGACGGGUAGCCGGCCUGAGAGGGUGGACGGCCACAUUGGGACUGAGAUACGGCCCAG
rnacentral:rRNA from 1 species